rnacentral:rRNA from 1 species
AGUCGAACGGGAAACUUUUCAUUGAAGCUUCGGCAGAUUUGGUCUGUUUCUAGUGGCGGACGGGUGAGUAACGCGUGGGUAACCUGCCUUAUACAGGGGGAUAACAACCAGAAAUGGUUGCUAAUACCGCAUAAGCGCACAGGACCGCAUGGUCCGGUGUGAAAAACUCCGGUGGUAUAAGAUGGACCCGCGUUGGAUUAGCUAGUUGGCAGGGUAACGGCCUACCAAGGCGACGAUCCAUAGCCGGCCUGAGAGGGUGAACGGCCACAUCGGGACUGAGACACGGCCCAGACUCCUACGGGAGGCAGCAGUGGGGAAUAUUGCACAAUGGGGGAAACCCUGAUGCAGCGACGCCGCGUGAAGGAAGAAGUAUCUCGGUAUGUAAACUUCUAUCAGCAGGGAAGAUAGUGACGGUACCUGACUAAGAAGCCCCGGCUAACUACGUGCCAGCAGCCGCGGUAAUACGUAGGGGGCAAGCGUUAUCCGGAUUUACUGGGUGUAAAGGGAGCGUAGACGGACUGGCAAGUCUGAUGUGAAAGGCGGGGGCUCAACCCCUGGACUGCAUUGGAAACUGUUAGUCUUGAGUGCCGGAGAGGUAAGCGGAAUUCCUAGUGUAGCGGUGAAAUGCGUAGAUAUUAGGAGGAACACCAGUGGCGAAGGCGGCUUACUGGACGGUAACUGACGUUGAGGCUCGAAAGCGUGGGG